UUAUGACUGGUCUUAAUAAUUUAAAUGGGUCCAGACUGAUUUUAUCCUUUCUAUCAAAAUGAGAAAGUUUUAUUUUUCUGCAGCUUUCUGUUCCAGUUUGAUGCAGACAGGAUGAAGACACUAACAUUCCUGUAGCUGAGUGUAAUGGAGAAUGAUGUGUAGGUAAAGCUUCAGAGAAGAGAAUCCCAGGAGAGAGUGAACUUCUGGAUCCAAAAACCUCAUACUCACCAUCUUGGUGACCUAGGAGGUGAAGCAACCAUGAUCAGUUUGACUGAAAUCAAGCAAAUCCCAAGAAAGGCUUCUCCAGUCAGCAACACCUUGAAAUUAUUAUGAUGAC
rnacentral:lncRNA from 1 species